rnacentral:snRNA from 1 species
AAUCUCCAUUGAAAAUGUUAGA